AAAAUACGGCAGCAAACAGACCACAGGCGCUCGUCUCCUCUACCUCUCGCCCACGAACUCCUCGCCGCCGCCGCCACCUGCGUCGGCCGCUUCCGGCGACCUCCGACGCCGUGCAGCACGCUCCCGAGCUCCUCACGGUCCGAGCCUCCCUCCCCUCCGACCAGAUUCUCCGCUCCCGUCCUCUACCGCCCGCUUGCAACCCCACCCACGUGGCUAGGGUUCCGGGCAGGGCUUCGCCGGCUCGUCUCCGGCGGCCCCAGGGGAUAGGUCGCUUCCGCGGUGGGGCGGGUGAGCUGGGAGCUGGUAAGGCAUACGCCCUUGCCGACGAGGAGUUCUCUCUCUAGGGAGAGAGCAGAGGGCAUGCUGGACGCUGUUGCUGUUAUUUGGCUCAUCGUCGUAUUGCAAGUUUCUGACAUCGCUGUACACUGUUGACGUCGCCGGAAAUCCGUCUGCACGUACUCCACUGUCCGCCGGAACUUUGUCCGACCUGAGACCAAUGCUAUAUGGUUCCACUCUACCCUGGCUAGGCCCACGAGAGCCUGCAAGCCGGCGGCAGCAGGGAUGGCCGGAUAGAGCCGCAUGGACUCAAUGACUCAGAGGAGGAUCGGAGGGGGUGGCCUGUACGUGGAGGAUGAUUCACACACGAGCUGGCACGCCCAACAAAUGCAUUAGUUUGGCUCUUGCACUAGAGAAUGACAGAUGGUGUAUACUGACAGAGGGGGAAGAAUUCUGCAGCAUACUGUGCAAGAUCUUUAUUUACACCAAGGAGGAGGUCCAGAAGAUGAAUUCGAAAUCAUCCUGUACCCAAGAAAGGAGGAAGUUCCAUGGAUGGUGAUUGUGCAAACAAGAAGGCACAUCUCACACAUCAUGCAAUUUAGAUAACUAACUAACUAGUAUUCAAUUCUUCUUUACCGGGUUGCUGUUCCCGUUCAGCAGCGGUUGCACCUUCUACAACAGUGAGCCCGAGCGGCAUCAGAUUCAGAUUGUCCCAUGAAGGUUUCGAGAUGGAGGCCUGUGAGGAGGAUUUCAGGGGAGAUCAUACUAUGACUAUGACAAGAGGCUGAGAUUUGACUUGCACUGUAUUGAAAAGCAGGUUCAGGAGCUCCAAGCCAAUAAACGCCAGAGCUUUGAAAAAGAUGAUGCGUUAAUAUUUUAUCAUCAUGUGACCUAUUAAUUUUGAACCGUCCGGCCACACAUUUAUUCCAAAUCGCAUAUAUGGCAUCCGAGAAGGAAGAAUCUGAGCGGGAAGUACUACACGACGAUUCUUGAGAGGAACAAGUCGACGAGGACACCAAUGAUGAUAACUCUAUCGUCGUUCUGCACCCGGACAACAUGGAUAAGAUGCAACUCUUUCUUGGCUGUGAAUCGGUCGAUGGUUGACAAGAACACCAAUGGCGACACUCAUUGUGGCUUUACACUCGGACACCAUGGACAUGUUGUAGCUCUUCCGUGGCGAGGGAUGCACUGCCUAUUCUAUUCUCCAUCACGUCCAAUAGAAAGCAAGGGACGGGUAGUUUGAUCCUUAACGGUUUCAUGUUUUCUCUCCAGUUGAAACGCACAUGCUUUGAUGGUGGCGCUCUCUCGAGGAAGGUAGCUAAAGUUUUUGGCAAGAGUCUGUCCCAUCUUUUAUUGUAUAUCAAUGUACUAUUGGUUGAGCAAACAGCAAAGCAAGGCAGAAGAUGAUGAACAUGAAAAUGUGGGUAAAAGGAAGUCCAAUAUUCUUUCUGCUACAAGUACAGAAAGGAAUGGGAUAGAACUGUAAAUUCUGGCAUGAAGUAGGAUGAGUAUGCUAUUGUCGUGUAGUGCAAGCCUGGGUGGUUGGGAGAUGAUGCACACAGACAUGUGGAGACAAUGCGAUCCACCAAGGCGGAAGCUCAUCAAACGGAUAGGGUUAGCUUCAAAGACGAAGAAGUCCGAUGCUUUUCCCCUGCCGGACAUCCUUAAUGCCGUCCAUGCGGUUUAGACCUUACAAAGUGUAAUUUUUUUCUCCCGUUGCAACGCACGGGCUUUUUUGCUAGUUAAUUUUAAUUUUUAAUUUCUUUCCCUACUAAUAAACCAGCGAUCGCUUCUGGUCGUCCGUCAUCAGGCAUUUUGCAAAGAAGUCCCUCAAUUUGUCAGAAUUCCCUAUCCCUAUAUAUAUAUACUAAUAAACCAGCGAUCGCUUCUGGUCGUUCGUCAUCAGGCAUUUUGCAAAGAAGUCCCUCAAUUUGUCAGAAUUCAACCCGCAGUCCUAUCUUAAGUGGAUAUCUGAGAAAACGUUUCAAUUUUGCACAAAACACCCUGGCGUUUGGAGUAUUCAACGCGCGGUCCGAGCAGCUUUGUAAAGAGAAAAAAACACAACCACACACGCAUGGGCUCGACUCCUCUCCCUCUCGCCCACGAAGUCACCGCCGCCGCCGCCCACGCCGGCCGCUUCCGGCGAGCUCCGGCGCUGCGCAGCACAGCCCCGAGCUCCCCAUGCUCCGCGCCUCCCUCCCCUCCGGCCAGAUUCUCAUCUCCUGGCCUCUACCGCCCGCUCGCAACCACACCCCCGUGGCUAGGGUUCCGGGCAGUGCUUCGCCGGUGCGUCUCCGGCGGCCCCAGAUGCAGAUGGAGCACGCCAUGGGAGUUCCCCAUCCACCAUGGUCGCUGUCGUCAAGGGCUUCUCCAAGGAGAUGUGAAGGACGCCAUCGACCUGCAGCUACUCAAGGUCUCAAGCGGCGACAGUACCCGGCAACACGAGUACAGGGAGUGUUUUUACUGGUUACGUCCAAAGUGGAGAACUAAGAACAACAGCCUCAAGGAAACUAUACGGAGAGAGCUAGGAGGAUUGGUUUCCAGUCCAGGAGUGAGCUCAUGUCUUUUGAUUUGAAAUGAAACGCCCACUGGGAGAGGUCUGCAGCUGCUGCUUUCGUGAGGCUGGUCAUGGAGGGGCGCAUGCCCUGAGGUGGGUGGGUGUUAGCUAUGACGAGAAAACAUAUGAAGUUUCUGCUAUUGUUAAGCCUGAUGUCGAAGAGUUGGAAAUGAUUUGUGAAUCUCUGUGCACGUAAAUGGAACAUUGGACAAGUUAAGCCAUGUGUAUUCCAUCUCCUUUAAUAUAUUGCUUGUGAUUGGCCUAAUAGAGAGUCUGCAAGACGUGAUUUGUACUCAAAGCAUCUCAUCCAGAUCACUUUACAAUACUUUUCUUCAUAUCUAGAAAAUGCAUGUAUGCAUAUAAGUUUCGUGAACAAUUUUUUUGAAUAUCCAGGUCACUUUAUGCAUAUCCAGAUCACUUUACAAACAGAACAAAUGCGUGUAUUCCUUUUUCAUCAUAUCCAUAUCUAGAAAAGCAUUCCUCCAUGUAAUAGGGUUUUUGAAAGCAGUAUGCAUAUAUGUUUCGUGAACAAUUUUUUUUUGUUAUUGCAACCAUAAGAAAGAAUCUUACUGGAUUGUCCUGGAAAAUAUUAGUCAUCUAUUGCCGAUAACUAGAUCCGUGUUAACUCAAUAGGGUGAUCUAGCGAGUUAUCUUGAGACAAAAAGUCGCCUGCGAUCUUAUAAAGUGAUCAGAUUUGCCCCUGAGACUGCAAGGUAUGUUAGGAUUCAUAACAUAUGUAUCUUCUUUUCCUAUUUUUUUCCUUUUAAAGCUGUAACUACCAUUUGAGAAUUGACUUAAACUGCUCGCAUUAGUGCAUCAUUUUGUAUUCACCUGAAAAUAAUGUAGCAUUGACUGAAACUGCUCACCAUUUGAAGUAUUGACUGAAACACUACCAUUGAAGUAUUUUCUUUAUUUUUUUGACUAGAAAAGCAUGAAGAUGAAUUAAGUUGAUUCAUGUAGAUGAAAUGGUUUUCCAUUUCCAUUUGUGUCGUUUCAGUGAAACAAAAUGAUAUUGCAGCUCUUUUCAUUUAUGUCUUGUUUCAUUGCAUUAUUAUCUUCCAUGAUUUCUUUUUCACCAAUACAUUUUGUUGCAUAUAUGGAGGCCAUCUACUUUUCUGCUGAUAUUUGUUAUUAUAUCAUCUUGUUUGCGAACUUAAAAAGGUCCCUCAAAGAGAAGCGUUUUUCAUGUGCUCCUGAAUCUGGUGUGCGGUAUGAUGGAGUUUACAGAUUGAGAACUGUUGGAGGAAGACUGGUAUUCAGCGCCGUUGGCCGCUCUGCCUACCGAGUGCCACCCCGCCGCCUCCUCCCACCCCCCACCUGGGACCUCACCGCCUGCUCCCCGCCCGGCACACCCACAACGCUUGAGGCUGAGCAGAUGCCAUUGGCCCGUGGGCACGGAAGCAGAGUCCAGGAUGGUGAUGGUGCCAAGGAGGACUCUCGGACGUCGACCGGUUGCAUCGUUGCUGCCGUAUCCAUGGAGUGGCGGCUCCAACCACUCUGAGAUGGCUCAUCAAUGGCAUCAUACGACUCGUAACACCACCGACUUGAUCACAAAUCAGUCGUUGGUUGCAUGCCGUAGCACUAUCAGUUCCUUGUGGUGAUCGUGGUUACUGUUUGUUUGUGGUGCAGAGGAAUCAGUACAACAACAGAACUUGAAGCUGACAAGGAUGGAUGAUGGUUGGUUUUGGUGGAGAGAUCGGGUGCAUAUGAACAACCUAUUAUCUUCCUUUUUUGUUUUUCAUCAUUCAACGGGACAAUUUCCUAAUUCUUUUUUAGUACUGUCUGAAAAGGUUAUUAGUACAUAUAGGUUUGUCAAAAUUUAUUAGCACAUAUGAGGUUCUUUGUUUGGACCCCCUUUGGCUCUACAUAAUUCUUUGGAGUGGGAUUCUAGAUAGAUGCUUUUAUUGAUUUUCUCCCAUUGCAACGUACGGGUAUGUUUACUGUAAUAAUAAAGUCAGAAGGAGAAGGGCGAGGUCCAGAUGGAGCUCUACCAGUUCCGCCGCUUUUAUA